rnacentral:rRNA from 1 species
GACGUAGGGCGCGAGCGUUGUCCGGAUUUAUUGGGCGUAAAGAGCUCGUAGGCGGCUUGUCGCGUCGACUGUGAAAACCCGCAGCUCAACUGCGGGCCUGCAGUCGAUACGGGCAGGCUAGAGUUCGGUAGGGGAGACUGGAAUUCCUGGUGUAGCGGUGAAAUGCGCAGAUAUCAGGAAGAACACCCGUGGCUAAGGCGGUUCUCUAGUACGGUACUGACGCUGAGACGCGAAAGCGUGGGGAGCGAACAGG